AACGCAUAUUGCGCUCUCUGGUAUUCCGGAGAGCAUGCUUGUUUGAGUAUCAGUAAACACCUCAGAUCCCAAGAUUUGUUUCUUGGGGUUUGGAUUUGAGUAAUCCUAACGAGAAGGCAUUCGCCAACUUGGCAGGUCACUUGAAAUGCAGGUGCAGCUGAACAUUCUUCUGAGCUAAAAGCAUAUUUAUUUAGUCCUGUUGACUCUUUAUGAGUUUGCGGAUUAUUACUUUUGCUGCAGCUAACAUAAAGGUUGAAUGAUUUCAAAUGCUGACUGAUGCAGGAAUUUAUCAGUUUAUAUAAAACUGUUAAACUCGAUCUCAAAUCAAGUAAGACUACCCGCUGAACUUAA
rnacentral:misc_RNA from 1 species